ACAGGUGGUCAGGUAGAGAAUACCAAGGCGCUUGAGAGAACUCGGGUGAAGGAACUAGGCAAAAUGGUGCCGUAACUUCGGGAGAAGGCACGCUGACAUGUAGGUGAAGUGAUUUACUCACGGAGCUGAAGUCAGUCGAAGAUACCAGCUGGCUGCAACUGUUUAUUAAAAACACAGCACUGUGCAAACACGAAAGUGGACGUAUACGGUGUGACGCCU
rnacentral:rRNA from 1 species